UACAGAGGUGGCAAGCGUUGUUCGGAAUUACUGGGCGUAAAGGGCGCGUAGGCGGUUUCGUAAGUCCCGUGUGAAAGCCCCCGGCUCAACUGGGGAACUGCACGGGAAACUGCGAGGCUUGAGUUCGGGAGAGGGAAGCGGAAUUCCGGGUGUAGCGGUGAAAUGCGUAGAUAUCCGGAGGAACACCGGUGGCGAAGGCGGCUUCCUGGACCGACACUGACGCUGAGGCGCGAAAGCUAGGGGAGCAAACGGG
rnacentral:rRNA from 1 species